rnacentral:misc_RNA from 1 species
CGACCCUUAAGCCUCAGUUGCUUAGUGUUGGGGGCUCGCCGUAAUUGGCGACCCCUUAAAGACAUCGGCGGAGUCGAGAUGGAACUCUGAGCGUAGUAAAUCUUUUCUCGCUUUUGAAGUCCUCACGGCCCUAGCCGCUAAACCUUAUGACCUAGUCAUCUAGU